GUUACGGCGCGAGGGUCUCUGGGUGCUUUCGCCUCAGAGGGUACUGAAAUUGUUAGUGUUCUAGGGUGUGGGUCUCUUGGGUCGUAAGAGCAAGGCUUGGUGUGAGGUGUACUGCCCGGUGAUUCCCGCACUGUCCUGGGACGCAUGCAGAGUCCGUAGGUUACGCCAGGUCCUUACAGCGUCACAGGUAAGCCUCUCCCUGGAGCUGCCAGCCCUGCCUCUGCCAAGAUCGUUCCUAGUGCUUUCCGGAUUUGGUGGUGGGCCAGAGUGGUCCUGUAAUAGGUGGCUUCCUGUUUGAAGGGCUCUCCGAUGAGGAGGAUGACUUUCACCCAAGUGCCAGGUCCACGCCCUCGAGCAGCACGUCCAGCUCCCGCCCAGCUUCCCUGGGGUACAGUGGAGCCGCCGGACCCCGGCCCAUCACUCAGAGCGAGCUGGCCACGGCCCUGGCCCUGGCCAGCACUCCGGAGAGCAGCUCUCACACGCCAACUCCUGGCACCCAGGGCCAUUCCUCUGGGACCUCCCCAAUGUCCUCAGGCGUCCAGUCAGGGACGCCCAUCACCAACGAUCUGUUCAGCCAAGCCCUACAGCACGCGCUGCAGGCCUCCGGGCAGCCCAGCCUUCAGGUCAGUCUUCCCACUCCUGGUGUCCACGCGGCUCUUUGUCACCUUGGACACUGAGCUUUUUGUGCUCUGUGGAGGCCCUUCCCACUUGGCCUGCUUUGCUCCAGGACAGCUGGGCCAUGACAGUGUGACAGGAGAGGAUGCCCGCAGCAAGGGCGGUUGUCCCUGUGGCUUCCACUCCUGCACCCAGUGA
rnacentral:lncRNA from 1 species